CAUCAACCAAUAUCACAGCAUGUGAAGCGUCUGAAGAUUGUGCUGAACAGCACAGUAAUGUUACAUUAACUGGAUAGAUCUAGAAUGUGACCAUGUUCGCUUUAAGGAUUAUCAUUUUUAUUACACUUCUUCUUCUUCUUAAUUAUGAUCUUUGUUCUUGUCAGUGUGCUCAUGCUGAAUAUAAAAUAGACAAGCAAUGCUGUCCAAUGUGUGCCCCUGGAAACCACGUUCGUUGGCACUGCACAGAUGACACCAGCACAACUUGUGUUCCAUGCCCUCCAUUAACUUUCACUGAUGAACCAAAUGGCCUCGUGGAAUGCUUUCCCUGUACUGUAUGUGAUGCAAACCAAGGUUUAAGACAGAGUGAAGUAUGCACUCGGUCAUCAGAUACGGUUUGUGGGCCAAUGGAGAGAUUCUACUGCAUUAAAGAAGAGAAAGGCAGCUGCACUUUAGCUGUGCGACAUUCUGAAUGUAACCCUGGACAAUAUAUCAAACAAGCAGGAACUGGCUCCACAGAUCCUGUAUGUGCUGACUGUACAGGUGACACAUAUUCAAACGGAUCUUUCUCAUCCUGUUUACCACAUACAAAAUGUGAGGCCAUGGGACUUGCUGAAACAAAUCCAGGGACACAUUCAUCAGACUCUGAAUGUGGAAAUCUCCGUACUGCUGUAGCAAUAAUUGCCUCUAGUGUUAUAGUUACUUUAUUAUUAAUUACAGUAAUAAGUGUGUUAAUAUUUAAACACAUUCGGAAGAAGAAACAAUCUAAAAGUUCAGGUAAGCUUUAUUCACUUAUUUUUGUAUGACAGCUAUGGUUUUUGUUUUCUAUUAUGGAAUUUUCUAUGAAAAUUCAACAAUCAUUUGAGACUGGGACACUUUGAAUCAUUCAUAUACACUGUAUAUUGCUGGAUUUAAAAAUGAUAUUGAUGUAAAGAGAUAAUAUAAUAUUAAUAUUAGAAUAUAAUAUAAUAUUAGAAUUAUAUUAGAAUGAUUUAUCAUGGAUUCAUAAAAUAAAUUAAGCUUUGCCGUCUCAUGUAUACUAUUUUAAAAUACAUUAAAAUAUAAAACAGUUCUUUUGAAUUGUAAUCAUAUUUUACAGUAUUAAUGUUUUUACAGUAUUUUUGACCAAAUGCAUCUUUGGUGAGCAUAAAAGAUGCAUUUCAAAAACAUUGUUAAAAACAUUAAUUAUACUGUUCUCUCUCUUCUUUUCAUACAGUGUUGCAGGAAACCGGAAAUGGUUUACAUGAAAAAGACAGUACAAAAGUUGUUGGGGGCAGGAUAAAUGUUGAAUCAUUUGGAACAGAAGAAGGAGUCCUAAGAACCUGGGAAUGACUACAGUUUCUAAACUGCUACAUAUUUCACCACAUUCACUGAAAGAGUUAUCAUGCCUGGAGUUUAUUCACUUUGAGCCA